GUGAAUAGGUUUUUUAGGAAUUUCGGGUUUUCAAAGAGGUAUUUUCCCUGUCGAAUUCAAUUUCUGCACUGUACGAAGUAAUGGGGGUUUUAAUUUUUCGAGACGUGCCCUGCUCAUUGUAACUAUUACUUUUGACGGCAUCUAUGACGCGUCGGGUUUCUAAUACAGUGAUUCUAGUUCUUUGAUUUUAGUUAUUUUCCGUUCCUUUGUCUUUGUACCGACCUUUGGAUGGAAAUUGUAUAGAGUAAUUUUAUUUCUAUUUGUACGCAACGAUAAACCGUUG